rnacentral:lncRNA from 1 species
GCUGGAAAUUGAUAAUUGAUAAACCUUGAUGGCAUUACAUUGAGAAAAUCUAUCACUAAGAUCGUUCCAAAUCAAUGGAUCCAUGUCGGAAUAGAUGAUGUAAUCAUCAAUGUCAUGGGUAAUGGAGUUAAAAAGCCAAGACAAUAAUAUGGUAUUACACCAUCUUGUGUCAAAAGAAGAGUAGACUCAUCUGAUUGUGGAAUCAAGCCAUAGACAAGUUGGAU